UCAAAGGUUCAAGUUCUUAGGACUCUACAGUUUGUAUCCUACUAUGUCUCUACUUUUGUCUCUAUCUUCUGUAUAUUUGUAUACUCUGAUGUAUAUUCUAGAUUAUUGAUUGUUAAUACAAUACAUUGGUUUAUCGAUCUAAAACACUCAUCUGGUAUUAACUAGCCUUGUUUGUUCCUGGCAAUGACGUCAUUUGUUCCACCACUGCAAGGCAGCGUUUCUUAAGCUUCUUCUGAGCGCACAGUAAUGGCUGAUUCCCUCUCUUCGGCUCCGGUAGUGGCACCACCCUCUCUUUUGUCGGUCCAUCAUUUUGUGUCGAUAAAAUUGACUUCCCGAAACUAUCUGUUUUGGCGUACCCAGUUGGUUCCCUUCUUCCGUGGCCAAAAUCUGCUUGGUAACGUUGAUGGUUCGCACCCGUGUCUCCCAGCGAUCGGAGUUUUAUAUGAUGGAUCGUCUAUAGUGGAAAAUUCAACAGCUUUGGCUUGGGUUCAACAGGACCAGGCAAUUCUUUCUCCUGGUUUCCUGACAUCGACGCAAUGCAUCACGUGACUCCUUUGGAGGCUGGUUUGAUAGAGUGGUGUUUAUCAUGGCAGUGACACCCUACAAGUUGGACAUCGUCACCAAAACGGUUCCGCUUAGGGAUCCGAGUUCAGGGGGUCUAUACUUGUUGCAAGUUCCUUCAUCUGCUCAUGUUGCUUUUCUGUCAGCUCGCGCCUCUUCUGUUGUCUAGCACAAUCGCUUGGGUGAUCCUCAUUUUUAGGUUUUGGAAAAAGUCUUUGCAAUCUUGUUUGGUUAGCAAGCUAGAUAUUAGUUCAUCUACUUUAUAUUCUUCUUGUUAGUUAGGGAAAUCUUCCCGUUUUCCUUUGUCUUGUGUUGAAACAACUAGUUCUAAUGUAUUAGAUCUUAUAUAUAUUGAUGUUUGUUGAUGAUUUUUCACGUUUCUCUUGGUUAUUUCCGUUGUGUCUCAAAUAUGAUAUUUAUAUAUGGUGUUUGAUCAUUUUCGUGUGAUGGUUGAACGCCUAUUCUCUCAUAAAAUUAAGUCUAUACAGUCUGAUUUAGUUGGUGAAUACCGCAAAUUAGGGUAUGUUUUCUCUUCUCUUAGCAUUGUUCAUCGUUAGUCUUGUGCGUAUACGCAUGAGCAGAAUGGACGUGUUGAGCGUCAUCACCGUCACAUUGUUGAGACAGGUCUUGCUUUCCUAGCUCAAGGUUUUGCUUCUUUGAGAUAUUGGGACUGCCUUUGAGACGGUUAUGUUUUUAAUUAAUCGUUUACCAUCUUCUGUUCUUGGGAUGGAUAGUCAAUUUUAUAGAUAUUUCUUUGUUUCGCCUUCCUAUUCCUAUCUUAAGGUGUUUGGGUGUUUAUGUUUUCCGUACCUUCGGCCGUAUAACAAAUAUAAAUUUGCUUAUUGGUCAACUCCCUAUGUGUUUCUGGGUUAUCCCCCGUCUUUCCGUAGUUAUCGUUGCAAGGACCUAAAUACGGGAAAAUUGUUUAUAUGUCGUUGUGUUCGUUUUGAUGAAGAUCUUUAUCCCUUUGCUAGGUCUUAUUCUGUGUAUGUUGGGCCAAUUGAUUCGUGUGUUGCUUAUUUGGAGCCUUGGGGUGCUAGUCCGUUGGUUUUUACAUCUAUGGCUCCACAAGCUCCUAGUGUGCCUCCUAUGGUUGUUGAGCAAUCUUCUGAUGGUGCGCCAUUGAAUGAUUCUUUGUCUGGUUUGGCACAUCCUCCUAGGCAUCGUGCUAAGGUUGAUCCACCUCACCUCCGCAGCGCACUCAUCCUAUGGUUGCCGGAAGUUCGGUCGAUCGUAAUCAACUUGGCUGUAAUUUGGUAUCAUGGGUCUGUCGCAAGCAACGUACAAUUGUGCGGUCAUCUACUAAGGCUGAAUACAAGGGGUUGGUAGACGUGGAAGCUGAAAAUUUGGGAGCUACUUAUCUCUGUGCCAACCCGAUUUUUCAUGCUAGGAUAAAGCACGUUGAAGUUUAUUAUCACUUUAUUUUUUAUAAAGUGGCCUCGGGUGAUUUGCAAGUUAAUUUCAUCUCCACCAAAGAUCAAGUUGUUGAUAUAUUCACCAAACCGUUGUUUGUUACACGUUUUGAAUUGUUGAGAGACAAACUUAAUAACGUUUUGAAUUGUUGAGAGACAAACUUAAUAUUGUCUCUUCCCAACCUUAAGCUUGAGGGGGUGUAUCAGGACUUUAUAGUUUGUAUCCUAUUGUGUCUAUACUUUUGUCUCUAUCUCAUGUAUAUCUGUAUACUCUGAUGUAUAUUCUGGAUUAUUGAUUGUUAAUACAACACGUUGGUUUCUCUAAAA